CGCGAGAACCCGUUUGCUGAAAGGAAUAAGCGCCUUGUUAAAGCUCAGCUCUAGAAGACUGGAAGAAAACCAUCAAAUACCUCUAGACUAAGAAUGGAAGAAAGCAAGUUCCCGAUUCAUUGAGAGAAGCAGAGAGGAUGGCAUAAAACAACAGAGAAAGCAGAGGUUGGAAUGCAUGAUGCAUCCACAAGCCAAGGAAAGCCAAGGAUGGCCAGCAACACCGGAACUAGGAGAGAGGCAUGGAAUAUGUUCUCUCUUUGAGCACCCAAGGAUGAACGAAUCUUGCGGACACCUUAAUUUCCGACUUCCAGCCUCCUGAACUGUGAGAGAAUAAAUCUCUUAUUGU